CCUCGGCGCGGGGCGGGGUGGAGCUGCUGCCCUAAGGCGAGGUUUAACCUUCGGGAGACCGCCGUCCGUCAGGAUGCGUCUUGUCCUUUAACGGCGCGCACGGCGGUGUAGCGACACCGUCACGGGCAGGGUGGGCGGCUGACCGAAAGCCUUGCCCACGAGUUUGCAUGCGAGGAGGAGUCGUGCAACGGCAGUGGCGAGCGGGGCUGCGCGGGUUUGAAGAGCAGUUGAUACCGCAAAGGAAUGCAGCGUGCAGAGUGUGCUUUAGGCUUUGCGAGCAACUGAUAUAAUUUGCUGGAAAAUUGAAUUUGGGGGCACAGAGGAAAAUCAAAUCAGGGACAGAAAAGUGAUAAGAAUGCUGAGCAAGGUCUUGUCUUAGGAUUCACAGACGGAGACUGAUUUUGCAGCUGUAGGAGUGGCAGAGCGCUCCCAGCUGCCUGGAAAACAAAAUCAAGAAAUGAGGAGGUACUGGAAGGCAUAUUUGUGGUUGCCCUUGUUUUCUUUCCUGGAAACCAGGAGUCCACACUGGGGAAAUUAGCACACUGUCCUGGUCCUUUCACGUAGCUCAAACCUUGCUGUAUGUUACCCCAAGGCUGGCCUCCAGGCUGGGUGUGGAAGGUGCUUCUGGUGAACAGGUGUGAUGGCAUUGCCUGGUGCCCAUCGCCAGAGCAGCCCUAUGGACCAUGAUGCAAGGCACAGCAGGUUCAGGUUCGCAGUGCCGUGUUUUACAUUUGGCAUUCUCUCUUUGUGAAAAUGUCUGUUAUUGGCAAAGGGGCAGCGUUGGCUGGGGCUACUGAUUAGCAAUGGACCACACAGCUAGAUAUGUUCCUGUGACACUGCGUUUGCAGCCACUGACAUGUGCAGGAGUACUGUGAAUGCUUUAUAAAAAAAUAGUGAAGAGAAAUGGGAGUGGAAAUUAGGAGAUGAGAAGUUUGUAGAAAUGACUCGUUGUGACAACUGCAUGCGAAGGUGAAAGAUACUCAACACCUUAGACGUGGAAAGAGCUCAAAUCUGUUUGAUGAGAACUUCCAUGUGGAUAUUUUGAUGUUAAAAGGUAGACUCUGUAUGAAGUCAGUACAGAAUCAAGUUUUUAAUAGGAAAGCUGCUUAGCCUCUAUGAGGCCCCAUCAUUGUCUCUUUGAAAUGUUCAGAAUGACAGAACUGAUAAGAAAUGAACGCUUCGGGAUUUUAUCAUAUUUGGAACAUUUUUCAAGCGAAGUGUGUUGUUAGAAAUGAUCAUCUGUGAAAAUGCCUUAAGAAAACUGAUCAUUUUUUGCAUGACAUAAUUCUGUAUUGAUUCUAUAUUCCACAGAAUGCAGUAUCAUCUUGGUUGAUCACUGUACAGUAAAAGGCUAUAGUUUAGCUCAAACAGCAUUCUGGAGGCAGGCUGUACCUUUCCUGCAUGGGAUUUUUCCUUAGGAUGUUGCCCCCUUAGAGGGCAGAAAUUGGAGCUCUUUCUGCAUUUACAUACUCCUCCUUCAACAAACUGAGGAGGGGGGAAGCGAGUGCAGCCAUGGUUUGUGCCCUGGAAGGUCUUUGCCCAGCCACAGCUGUCACCAGCCAGGUGUCACAGGUCUGUGAUGCCUUACCAGGAAAUAGUGGCGGUGUGAUAAUAUGAAAUAUGAUGCUUUCCUCUUCUGCCUGUUUCCUUGCCUUCUCAGUCCGUGAACUUUCAGAAAUAGCUGACUACAACCCUUCAUCUCACAGAGAGAAAAGUCUUAUAUCUCCCUAAUAAAAUGAGACAUCUAAAGGGAGCUGGGAAUCCUCUUGGGUGCAAAGGGAACUCAUCAUAGCAAACUGCUGUUAAAUUUGGCUUUAAAAUUUUGUGGUUCAGCUGACAAAUCUACAGAUGUCAAUACCAGCAGCACUGAUGCAAGAAGCACUGGCAAUCUUUGAGAAGACAUCUAACAAUUGCAGCAGAGACAAAUUGGGAGCCAGUUGCAUUUUGUCCUCCUCAUACAUGGCACACACCCUCAGUAGUGAGCUGCUCAGGCAACAAAUUGCUGACAGGUGUGCAACGACAAGCCUGUCUAGAUAGGCUUAAAUCAUCCCGGAUGGCUGCACUUGUGUAUUUACAGUCAGCACAAGCAUCAAUUUGAGAGAAUUUAGCUAGGAUACCCAGUACUUGAAAAUAUCUUUAAAAACAAGCAAGCCAACAUGUUCAACUGGAGUUGUUUGCCACUGGCCUGCUAACUUUCUGUAAGAGGUGUGGGCAGACAGGUGUAACAGGCUAUGGGGAAACAUCAAAUGUGUACCAGAAGGAAUCUGUGAAUACAUUAUUUUUUGUUUUUGUGUUUUGUUUAAACUGCCACAUGUAACAGCUUUGGUGAUUUCCAUGUUUUAAGAAUGAGCAAUGGAUGUUCUAAACCCUGCUGUAGAAAAGGUGUUGGAGUCUCAAAAAUUGCUGUUUUGUGUCGUCGCCCAAUGCUAGUAAAGACACAGAGCGAAGGAGUAUCUUGCAGCUGCUACAAGAUGAGACUUAAUGAAGCCAAUCCCUCCUUCAAGAAUCUGUAUCCGUUUCUCUACUUGGCAGAUUAGAUAUGAGUUCAGUGGAGAACUGUACUUCUUUGGAGAGUUAAUUCUAUCUUCGUUUGUGAAUUUAUGCAUCGAAUAAAUAAAACAUGAACAGCAGCAAUGUGAUCAUUCACCUGAGAUGUGUCCAUCCUGAAUCAAAGUAAACUGUGGCAGGUAGAAUGGCUCUCCUGUACUUCUGCUAACCUAGCCAAUACAAUGGUACUGGUGACAGAAGGCUUUAAGCAAGAUAAUAUCUGUCUGUUUUAUAUGGGUGACAAUCAGAUGAUAAUACAUUCAGGCUGCUGAACUGAAUUUGUGCAGGCAAAUGAGAUUCCUUUGCCUGUUAACCUGCAGUUAUAGCCAUUGUCCUGGGCACAGUUGUUCUAAAUAAAAUCACAGGUGUCAAAGUCUUCAUCUGCUUUGCUCUUAGUAGCAGAACACAGCUUGUGGCAGCUGAGUUUCUGGUGCUUUCAAGCUGAUUUUGAGGGCCAUAUAAAAAUAAGUUGUUUGUUUAACCCGAAGUAAGCAGAGAAGGAAGUCUUUCACACAAAUGGUAAAGAUCCUCAAUUCAGGCCCUUUAAUGUAGCAGAAAAGAGUCAUAAAAGUCUCAGUUUUGCAGUAAAAGGGUUCCUUUGAUGUAGGGAAUGUGCUUUGUAGAUAUCUUCUAAACUCCAGUACAAGGUACGUGUGCUGAGGAGCACGUGUUCUAGAUGGAAGUGCUGUGGAGUGCAGGCAGCAUCACGGCCCCUCAGAGGAAGGACUGUGGGGAAGCUUGUAGAGUUUAGUUUUAAUCUAUGCAUGACUAAAGUAAGGUAGCAGACUUAGUAGAGGUUUCAUAAUAACAGACUGUGUAUAAUGGGGAAUUUUGUUAAGGCACCUUACGCUUAAUUUUUUAAUCUCAAUUAUUUCAUAUAUUUUAUGUAAAAAUAGCAAAGAUCUCAACAGCAUCCAUGUUCCUGCAGCAGUUGCCGUUCAUUCAUGCAGAAACCCUUUCUCUAUCAAGUAGACUUCAAACGAGCUUGUUUUCCCACUUUAGUCAGUUUGUAUUCAGUGCAACUAUUCUGAACUUUUUAUAAUCAUUUUUUAUUCCGUGUUCUCAUCUGCUAGCUCCAUGUUUCAAGUAAAUGGAGUGUUGUUUGUGUGUGGUUUUGGAGAAGUUGUUUUUUUCCAAAAUUCAGAAUGUGCAUAUCUUUUCUUAAUCCCACAGGUAAAAUCCAGCCUUUCAUUUCUGUUGGAAUGCAACUGGCCAACCUCCCUUACCCUCUGAGCCACCUUACAGGGUAAAGGGGCUAUGAACUUUGCAGAGGUUCACAAGUGGCACCUGAUAUCCCAUCAGUCUGCUGCAAGCACAAUGCUUUUAUUUUGAGACUACUGGAGAUGAAAUCUGGGAAUCUUCUGUGUGCCAAAGUAUUCCUGUAGAACAUGGAGCUCCAUCAGAAUUGAGUGGUGUGAAACUGCUCUGAGCCUGCAAGUGCCUGCAAGACAAGUGCCUGCUGUACCACCACUCUCCAUCCAACUAGCUUCUCCAUCACCCCACAAUCGAUGCAGAUGUUGCUGUAGUCAGGCAACAGAAUGCCACAGCAGAACAGAGGAGCAGUUAUUUUCACCACAGCUUUCCGAUUUGGUUUAGUUCUGUCAGGCAAGGAAAGCACAUGCCACUUUCCAGCAAGAACUCAUUCAGCUUGAGCAUCUCCAUAUGAAACAAUUAAUGGAACAGAAAGGCAGUGAGAAGAAAUCCACCAAGGAACCAUCGGCUAAACUAACAUGAACAGAGACGCACACGUGGUAAAGCAUCCUUCCUCCCACUCCAUCAGACUGCACAUCAUUUAAGAUUUAUCACUGCUGAUGACAGGUACCUGACCUCACAUAACUGCACAGAAUUUUGAUGUAACAGUUGCAGUUAAAUAAAGUGUUACUUCUCUUAAGUCUUAAAUAAAAGAACAAUGGAAAACACUGGGAAGAAAUAAGCUUUACCCCUCAUACUGACCUGUUCAAG